ACAUCACACAGCACACUCUUAGAAUCUUCUCGCCCCAUAUUCUGCCAUGUUGCCUGAACCUUAGGUGUGGGAGUGUCUUCUAGAUGUAUCCAUUGAGAGUGGAUUCCUCAACUAUGCAUUUCUAUUAGUUGUAGAUUUCUGUUGUGCUCUCCAUCUGUCAUAAGAGGUUUUUGUGAUGACGAGUGAAGACUGUACGCAUCAGUGGAAAGUGGCAAGAGCAGAACCUCAGAGCAAGAUCCCAGAGUCCAAAGGUACAACCUGCUUUGGGAAAAGCAGAUCCUCUAUCAAUGGAUACAGUCCAGCUGUCACCAUAUUGAUGGAAACCUACAGAGUCAGAAAUAUAGAUAUAAUUUCAUAUUCUUUCGUUUUCCAGCAUCUACUCAUUGUUCACAUCAAACCCAAUAAAAGUCUUAUCUGUAUUUAUUCAUA